rnacentral:misc_RNA from 1 species
GGAAUCUUGCGCAAUGCGCGAAAGCGUGACGCAGCAACGCCGCGUGGGGGAAGAAGGCCUUCGGGUUGUAAACCCCUUUCAGGAGGGACGAAGCCUGGCCGGUGAAUAGCCGGUCCAGGUGACGGUACCUCCACAAGAAGCCCCGGCUAACUACGUGCCAGCAGCCGCGGUAAUACGUAGGGGGCAAGUGUUGUCCGGAAUCAUUGGGCGUAAAGAGCGUGUAGGCGGUCCGGUAAGUCGGUUGUGAAAGUCGGGGGCUCAACCCUCGGAGGUCGACCGAUACUAUCGGGCUAGAGUCCGGAAGAGGCGAGUGGAAUUCCUGGUGUAGCGGUGAAAUGCGCAGAUAUCAGGAGGAACACCAAUGGCGAAGGCAGCUCGCUGGGACGGUACUGACGCUGAGACGCGAAAGCGUGGGGAGCAAACAGGA